AUGCCCGCCUCUUCUGGACUCUACCCUUCCGCCACGUGUUCCUUCUCCGCCGCCUGCGCCUCCGCCUCCGCGCCGCCGCAGCCGCGGCCGGCGGCUCGCCCCCGCGAUGGGCCAGUCCCCGAGCGCGCCGUCGGGGCGGAGCCGCAACCGCGGCGGCGUCUCUAAGUGGUCGCCGCCGGGGCUCCGUCUCGACCUAGGGUUGCUGCUUGGCCGGAAGCCGAGGUCUGGGGGCGAGAAGCUGGACCUGGCGAACUGGCUGAGGUGCUUCCUGGCGCCCCAGCUGCCGCAGCCGACGGCGGCGGCGGAAGCGAGCGCCGAGGGGAGGGACGCGGGAAACCGCGUGGAAGAGGAGGCCGGAAGCGAGGAGGCCGAUCACCUCGUCGUCAUGGUCAACGGGCUAUACGGGAGUUCGGCGGAUUGGAAAUUUGCGGCCGAGCAGUUCGUGAAGAGGCUGCCCGGGAAAGUCUUCGUUCAUCGCAGUCAGUGCAACCAUUCAAAGUUAACAUAUGAUGGAGUCGACUUGAUGGGAGAAAGGUUAGCUGAAGAGGUUCGACAAGUUGUUCAGAGGAGAAGUAACCUAAAGAAUAUCUCUUUCGUUGCCCAUUCCCUUGGUGGUUUAGUUACACGAUAUGCAAUUGGAAAACUUUAUGAUGCAUCGAUAAAUGCAGAGGCUUAUCUUGAUAAAGAUAACUUCUCAGAUGAACAGAGAACAUCUAAUGGUGGUAAAAUAGCUGGUUUAGAGCCAAUAAAUUUGAUUACGGUUGCUACGCCGCACUUGGGAUCAAGGUGGAAUAAACAACUUCCUUUCCUUUUUGGUGUUCCAUUUUUGGAGCGAACUGCUGCAGGAACUGCACAUUUUAUAGUUGGGAGAACAGGUAAACAUUUAUUCCUUACAGACACAGAUGAUGGGAAGGCCCCACUUCUUGUACGAAUGGUUGAAGACUGUGAUGAUGGAAAAUUCAUGUCUGCGUUGCGCUCUUUUAGGCGCCGUGUUGCCUAUGCGAACGUAACAUAUGAUCAUAUAGUUGGCUGGAGAACAUCAUCAAUUCGUCGUCAGCAUGAAUUACCUAAGCUUCAGUUAGCACCAAGUGAUAAAAUGUAUCCACAUGUUAUCCAUGUUGACAAAGGAAAUUCGGAGCAUCAUCUGCCAGAGGAAUCUGUAGAAGCUUCACUUACAUAUAGCAUCGAAGAACUGAUGAUCCGUGGCCUUACACAAGUUCCCUGGGAACGUGUUGAUGUAUGCUUUCAUAAGAGCUGGCUAAGAUACAACGCCCACCAUAAUAUCCAGGUUAGGAUCCAUCCUGUUAAUUCAGAUGGCGAAGACGUAAUCUACCAUAUGAUAGACAAUUUUCUAGUCUAGCUAAAUUUCGGCGAUUUCUUGAGGAAUAACAACCUUUUUGCCGGUGGGUUAACUCCAUUCUAGUUAGGUUACGAUGCCCAUGGACCAACAUCUGGUUCAGGGAAUCACGCAUGAUGUAACUAUCAUUUAUCAAAUCAGGGAAGCCUCUGAUGUAUUGUUUUGUAGUGUAAAGAUUAUUGUUCGGCUGUCAAUAGUGUAAAUGUCAGCUUAAUAUAUUUUGUACAUAUGAAUUUGUUAAACUUGGCAGCCUCUGGUUGUAUAUGCUGCAAUUUGGUGGUUGAAACAAUGUAAAAGUGUGUAAUUGUUUUCUGAAUAAAGACACCUUUGAUGCAAUUCUUGGUUCU